rnacentral:lncRNA from 1 species
ACUGUCUGCCUGCAACUGCACAAGAGAGCUGAGUGAAAACAAUCUUGCUGAGUUCAGUCAAGCUCCAGAAAUGUACGGGGUAAUUCUCAUCCAAUCAGUUGAAGACAUUAAGGAAAAGACUGAUAUUCCUGAGAAAGAGGAAAUUCUGCUAGCAGAUGGCCUUUGGACUCAAACUGCAACAUCAAUUCUUCCCUGGGUCUCUAGCCUGCUGACCUAACAUACCCCUCAAAUUUUGGACUUGCCAGCCUCUACAGUUGUGUGAGCCAAUUCCUUACAUCUCCUCCUCUCCCCUCACUCCAUCUCUCUCUAUCUGGUCGGCUUUGUGUAACACCACGAAAAUAAAACAAUACUUUCCUGUCUUCUGCUGAUUGGCACCUGUCUUUCUCUUCUGGGUAAGAUUGUUUCUGCUUGUUUAGAUAACAAGGCAGUCAUGAAUGGUAUCAAAAUGUGUCCAAUACUGACCACAUUGCUGGUGUUCAAUAAAUUAAAAAAUAUUUUAUUCUGUACCUGUGGUCUAUACCCUAGAAUUCAAACAGUUAACUGUCUUAUCUGCAUUCAGUAUUCCACUGCCACUUAAAAUAAAUGUGAAUUAAUAUAACAAUUCCUCUCAAAAUUAUAUCCGUUGGUUUAAAUAGCUUUGCUGUGUGUACAAAUACUUUGGGUGAAUGCAGUUAUUUAAUAGUUUAAAUCUAGUUUCAUUUUGAUAAUAUAGCAUUGUUCAACUAUUGAAAUGACUAAGUUCCCUUUUUGUAUGUCUUGUGAGAAACAUAGUAACUAGGAUAUUGUGUUUACAUGGUGUCUGUUUUCCUGAGCAGAGAGUUCAAAGCAGGUUAUACACAUUCCAUCUAUCUCAGCAUCCUUCGGUUAUUACAAUAAGUCCUUCCACUUUCUGGUGUGAUUCUGUCCCCUUUCAUCUAUCGAGCUUCUUUCUCCCCACUCCCUCCAGCCCUCACUUCCCACAACUUAUUUUAUGGUUUUCCUCUACUUAAUUUCACUAUUCUUUAAUAGGGUUUGAUUUACUGGGCAGGUCCUGCACCAGCUGAAGAUUACCAGGGAAAUAGCAAGGCAUUGGUUUAUGGUGUAUAGUUUAUGGUGUACACCCAGGCAUUGGUUUACGGUAUAUAGUUUUGAUAGUAAACUUAUCCAUUGGAAUGUAUAAAUGACAUAUAGGCAGAAUAAAUAAGUGGGUUCUACCAAUAUUGCUUGUUUUGGAAAAAAAUUAACAUAAGAUUCUAAACACACAUUACUACAUUUGUUUUUAGCAUCAAAGGUCAUUACAAUAAAGGACAAAAUUUAAAGAAACACAGUACAUGGAUUACAGAUUGACAUGGACUUUCUAAAAACCCACUGUGAUUUAUUCCUUCUUGCUGUGGACUGAGUGUCUGUAUCAUCCCCAAAUUUAGAUGUUGAAACCCUAAUCUCCAAUUUAAUGGUAUUUGGAGGUGGGCCCUUUGGGACGGAAUUAGGUUUAGGUUAGGUUGUGAGUGUGGGCUCUUGUGAUGGGAUUAUUGCCCUUAUAAAAACAGGAUAUCUGUCUUUCUCUGCCAUGUGAACAUGCAGCAAGAAGACUUCAAAACAGAGAAAGAGACUUUACUAGGAAUCAAAUCAUCCAGUACCUUGAUCUUGCACUUCUCAUCCUCCAAAACUAUGAGAAAUAAAUCAAGUAACCCAAUGCAACAUAUUUUUAUAGCAGCCCAAGCUGACUAAGAUACUCCCCAACCUGCCUUUGGUUGUGUUUUCUUAGUUUAUGGUAACUGUUUCCUGACACCCUUUGUAAGAUUCACCCUGUGUUUCUCUGCUCUGCUGGCUUCUAAAGUAUUGUUCACAAUAGAAAGACCUGUGCAUCAUGAGAGCUUCCCAUUAGGGCCCUGUUGUUCCUGCUUCUGCUGGUCUCUGCCAGCCACUUCUGAGCACCAAAUUUCUUCCCUCUGUUAUUUUGCUUUAUCACAGGGAUGGUCAGCAAUCCUUUAUGAACUCUAGUAGCUAUGCAAUGACAGCAAGAGGAUUUGGCCUUCAAAGGAGCCUCUUACCAAACUUUCUUAUUUCUGGAGCCAAAUUAACAUCUCAACCAUUCUGCUCUGAUCUUUCCCAUGGGUUCCUAUGGUCCCAUGGCAUCUCUUGGUCAUGUACACACACAAUAUGUUUCAUAUUUUUCCUCACGACUAAGGAGAUUUGACUAUUCUCCCUCACCAGCACCAGCUCAGUGAGGCACUGGCUUUGAUUUUGAAAUGGUUUAGCAUACAAUGGCUGAUGUCUAUCCAUUUUAGAGGAAGCAAACACGUUUACUUCCUUUACUAAAUUUCUUAUAGGAUCCCUGCCCUCUAUUGUUCAAAAAACAAAACAAAGCAAAACAAAAAACAGUUAAAUUGUGAUUUCCUGUUAAACAAUUUUAACAAGAACAAAAAAUAUAUUAAGGUAUAACUAGCAGGACUCAAAAAUAUUGACUUACAAAUUUUAAAAUCCAUUUUCCUCCUUUCACUACUGUCAAAUAACAGAAGAUUCUAUCCUGGGACUUCCUUAGUUGUACAGACAUCAGUGAAUUUGUUAGGAUAUUUUUGCUUACAAGUAAGAGAAGCCUGAUUCAAAUGGGCUUGAACAAGAUUUGCUACCUAACAUUUCUGGAGCUCCGUGGGUAGGACAAUCAGGGCUCGAGGCUGUUCCUCUGGGCUCUUCCCUGCAUUGUUUCAGAUUUACUCUUACCCUGGUACAAGAUGGUUGUAAACAGCAACUGUGGCAGAUGACUUCUUAAUGGGGGUUGAGGGAGUACAGAGAAGCGACAGAUUCUACCGUUCUAUGGAGUAGGGCAAGGAGAAAAGUGAGGUGCGCAGAGGGGCUAAGUGGACUGCCAUGACAAAGGCCUGGGCCAGAGAGGAGAUGGGAGAGGAGAGAAGGGAGGUGACAUAGAUUGAGUUAGAAAAAGGAUUUUUUGAAUCUUACACUGGAAAAGGAGAGGCACUUUAGGGCAUCAUCCAUGCAUGUAUGAAAUAUCAACAGCAAGAGAAAUGAGAAAGAAAAUUUGAAAGAGGUUUCUGGAGUGUUAGAAAUAUACUCUCCUUUGGUGUUUUCAUGAAAGACUGUAAAUUAAGAGUUACAUUGAUUUUCAAUUAUUUUGGUCACUGGAGUACGACAGAUACUAGAGGUUGGUUUGCUCAACACUUCAGCUGCCAUCUCUAUUACAGAAAGGUUAACCAUAUAAUUUAUCAUCUAAACAGGGACACUGGAGGCUAAAAGGGUACCUUAUUAAUGAUUAUGCAGGUACUAACAGUGUUAACCAGGACUAUCCCAUGCAAACCAAGACAUGAUUUAUUCGAAUAAUAUUUUAUUUAGAAUUGCUAUUAUAAUAGCUAUAAAGUGAAAUAUUCAACCACCUCCCUCACAUUUAGGGUGGUCAAGUCUCACUCUCACAGUUCCAGUCCAUGAGAUAGAGGCAGAAAUCCCUGAAAAAGACUUGCCUUUCUAAAUAAAUCAACACUAGAGAAUAGGCAUGGCUUCCUUUUCCUUUCUUCUGCUUGGACUACAGAUAUGGUGCCUGGAGAUACAUCAGCUACUUCAUGACCAUUAGGAUGAAAGACAAAUAUCUAGGAUGGUGAACAGAAAGAUGGAACGACAUUGAGAUGCUGAUGAUUUCAUAGAGCUGAUAUACAGGCACAAUCUGCUUACCUCCACACUUCUUGUAACAUGAGAAAAAUUAACCCUAACUUGGAAUGGAGACAGUACCUAGCCUUACAAGGCAGUUGCAAGAAUUAGAUAAUGAUUAUGUAGCUCUUUGUACAGUAAUUGACACAUAGGGCUCAAAAGCUGGUGCCUAUGGCUAUUAUUAUUAACUCAGUUUAACUUGCAGGUGUUUCUUCCUUUUCUUCUAGGAUGGGGUGAGUGGGGAAGGCAAUAGAGCAACCGCAAGAAAUGUUAAAAUGUCUAUUUCUAUAAGCAUGAUUAAAUGAUACUUUAUAUAAUGGGGACUGGCAAUCAAGACUUCAUUUUCUAUGGUUGGAGACAUAGUUGCUUCUACCAAAUGGAAAGAGGUGAUCACUAUGGACAAAGAUAGAGAACUGAUUGCAGAUAUAUUUGUUCCAGGGUCCAAAAGUUUUUCACUUUGCUACAGCAAUGAAUACCUAGGGAGAUGUUGAUCUCUCAGGUCCAGUGAAAAUUUUCCCCAACUGGAUCCAGAAAAAGAGUCAUUUGGUUUUAGAGAUUUAAAAAUAUUUAAAAGUAACCAUUUAAGUUUUUAGAUUUUCACACAACCUGUAAGUCAGAAAUCUUCAUAUUCAAUCUGCCAGAGGUCUUUGGUAAUUAAAUCACAUUUAGAAAUAUUUUCCAACAUGUUCUAGAGAAUGAGAUACGUACAUGUCUUUUAUUCAUGGUAAUGGAAAUAGAAGAAAAACUCAUUUCCACAGAUACUUCAUUUGGGCCCAAAAGUCAGGCCCUAUCUUUGUGCUGAGUAGGCUUUCUAUAAAUUAGGAGGGUGAAGUAGGUGUGGUUCCCUAGAAACACAGACUAAGACAGGCAUUUAGCUGCAUGUUGGGGUGUGCUCUCUGGAGAGAAACAAUAAGGAAAUCAAAAUAAAGAAGAAAAGAAUCUAGGCAGAUGUGGUAUCACCUGGAGUUUAGCUUUUGCUGAUCCCAUGGGAUGCUUUGGGGUAUGAAUUGUACCCAAGAGUUGAGCCCACCUUGAGGCAAGCGGUCUAGGAUUUUGUACCCUCAAGUCAGCCAGUCAGUGGCUGUGAGGUGUCCUCAGUUGGGUGGCAAAGGUGUUAUCUCUCGUGUGGCCUGUCUUUUUUCUGAGGCCAGUUCUUCAGAGAAGGAGACAUCCAUGAGCCAUUAGCAGCCAUCAUUUACCAAAGCUGGGAGACAGGUGUGCUGGCCUAAUAAAGGGGAUCUGGGAGAUACUCCAAUAGAGUCCCCUACAAAGAAUGCCCUCAUUUGAUGUCAACUAUGGGCCUCUUUUGCUUCUUCAUGGAGAAUGUGUUUGAAACCAAGGGAUUAAUGUCUUUAAAAGGGAUAACCAGUGUUUCUGAAGCUUGACCAAUAUGUGAACAGUUUCUUAAGAAGGGAAAGUUUUCUUAGUUUCCAACCUUGGCUUAAAUUGUUUUUCUUUUAACUUUGCUUAAAUAUAUAUAAACCCAAAAGUAUUGAUUAAUGUUCUCUGCUUGUAUUUCUUAAAAUGGUAUGAAACCAAAACAAAUUAGAAAGUAAAUCUUUGAAAGAAUGAGACCAUAAAAAAUCAAACUGACAACAUAAAUUCAAUGUGAUGCAUGGUGUUAUUUUGCUGGAACUAAAUUGCUGAUCUCAAAGUAAAUAUGUAACUGUGAAAUUGCACAGGAAGUCUCACAUGUCUCAUGUAGCCUAUGUUAUAUGAUGCCAUGGGAAGGACCAACUUCCCACCACUCUUCUGUAAUAGAACUUUUGUAAAACCCUAAUUUGUACAGAUCAUGAGGAUCUGUUUACUUUGAAAGAGAAUUAUUAACAUUUACAUACUGAUGGUUUCUACUUUUGUCAUUAGCUCACAAAAAUCAAAAGUGUACAUCUUGGCACUGUUGUGAUCAUAAACCAAAAUGCAACACAGACACCUAAAUGCUGUGGCCAUCCUUAGUAAGUAAAUCAUCCAUAAUGCACUUACACAAUUUUAUCAAAAUGAAAGCAUCAUAUUUUGCCAUUUAUUUAAAUAACUUUGUGAGCAUUUAGGGACCUCAGAGACUAUGUCUGCAACAUUCUCUGAUACUGCUCUUUCUCAUGAAACAGGAACAUGUACAGGUGCAGGGUGAGUUUGCCCACGUGAUGACACCUGAAAUACCCAAGAAAGAGAGUAUCUUUCUGACUCCUGUUGGUUGGGACAAGGGGAUAGCAUGAGGAAGGUGAGAGAACUGGAGGAUAAACCACUGACAGUUUGAAGGGCCACAGAGUGGGCUCUUUGCCUCAUAUCUCACUACAACGUUGACAAUGUAAUGACAGUGUCCCUGACUGCCUGGUGGUUCCGCAUGCAGAGUCUGACCCUCAUGCCACAUGAAUCUCCUGCCCUUACUUCUAACACAGCAUGCAGCAAAAGCAGCAGGGAGCCAUGGGCUCCUGCCUAGGAGAGUAUGGUGAGCAAGCUGGGACACUGGAGUUUUUGCUGCAUCCUCAGUGGUCACGAGCAUUGCCAUAUUGCCUGUAGGCAGUCCCAGCUGGGAAGGCUCAAGGACCUGAGUGCUUUUUCCCUGCCGAGGAAGGUUCCUGACUUUCUUGCCUCCCUUGCUUUCUUACAAAGUGCCUGAUUCCCUGAGGUAAUCUGAAUACAUCUUUUUCUCACUACCCGAAGAGCUUAAUGAAGACAGAAAAAAAUAGAAGAGUCUCUGCUGUCAUUGCGUGGGUGAAGUCUGCUCCCUAAUUCAAGAACAAGAAUCAGAAAUCAGAAUCAGGAACACUGAAUCAGAAAGUCCAAUGUGAGUCACAGUAGGUUAAAUAGAAUCUUGGGGUAGAGGGUUGGCAUUAGUCCCUUUAUGCCUAAUGUUCCAUUAUUGGAACACUAAUCAUGUGGGAGUUAUUUAUAUCCUACUGUUCAAGAUCAUAGCAAAGGUCUGAUUGCAAAAAUUCAAAAAAUUGCAACCUCAGGCAUAAAUGGGUUAAAAUCUACUGUGUCAAUAGAGGUAAAAGCAAAAUGGAAAACCAUAGUGGGCAGCUAUUGGAGCACAGCUGCAGGUUCACUCUAUUUCAGAGUGUUUCUUAAUUUAACAAUGGAAAAAAGGGAUUCAGUGGGGUUAAAUGAUCUUUAAGGUCUCAUUCACUUACUGAACAAAUAUUUAGUGAUCAGUAUCAGGCAAAAACUGGACACUGUGCUAGGUACCAUAUAUACAACAGACACAGUAUGAGUAGCUCAUGCCCUCAGGGUAUUCCAGGUUUAAAGGGGAGAUACUGGUGAGCAAACAGAUGGUCCUGAUUCAAUGAGACCAGUGCCAUGAAGAGAGAGGCAUGGAGAGCACACAGGCAUGCGGACCAAGCUAGCUUGGCACAGUCAGGGGGAGCAUCCUGAAGGAUAAGACACAAAGCAAACAGUGAAUGCUGGUGUCCUGUUCCAUUGUUUUGCUGAUUCCACUGCCCAGGGCUCUCAUAGGGAUUUCUGUGCCAGGAGCUCACUGCUUCCUGGGAGUGGAAGAACAGCCAGGAAUCCCGGGACAAAGCUGCACUCAACCUUCAUGCUCUUUUCAGUGACAUUCAUUGAAAGAAGGAAUUUUCUGAAAAUGUUCUCCACCAGUUUCUCCUACUUCAAUUUGUAUGUACACCAUGAACAGAAUGUUUCCCAGAUCUCCCUUCAUAAGACUCUUUAACUCAGAUUUUUUCCAUAUAAAUUCCAAUCUCCUGCCUACUUGUAAGACCAAGAUCACCUCACCUAUCUUAUCUUACCUCACUGUUCCCAGCAUGCCCUCUUCCAUUCAUUUAAGUCAUAGGCAUUAAGACAGCCCUACCUGGUAGUGAUCUCUAACAUUCAUUGGAGAAUGAUGUAAAGUACUCUAGAAGAGCCUUCCCACUCAAAAAGUGGUCCCUGGACCAGUAGCAUUAAUGCCACCUGGGAGUUUGUUAAAAUUUGCAAAAUCCCAGACCCCAGUCCAGACCUACUGAAUCAGAACUUAAAUUUCAGUAAGAUCCUCAGGUGAUUCUUGCAUAUAUUAAAAUUUGAGAAAUUAUUUUGAAGAGAUAAGCAUAAUUUAAUUCUAGAUGACAUACAGGCCACCUACACUAGCUUUAUUUGUAAGCAUAACCUCAUUUUAAUUUUUUAUCUUAAAAAUAACAAAAACUUAUAUUUGUCAAGUUUUUUACUGUUGUUGAGUGAAAGUUACAGCAUUUUGUUAAUUAAUUUGCAUAGUUCUGGCAUUCUUGCUAAUUUUAAAAGCAUGCUCAAGGUUCGUAAAAUAAUUUUAAAAAUCAGCAACUAAAUAUCAACAUUUUCUAUCACAAAACAUAUAAACAUAAAAUUAUAAAUGCAUUGAAAAUAUAAAUGCUAAAUAUGUAUUAACAGAUAACAUUAAUAAAGUAUCGUGCUAAAACACAUUACAUAAGAAAUGAGAAUUAUAAAACAUUUAAAAAUAUAAUUUUCUCUUUUUUAAAAGAUGAAAAUGUUAAAUCUUUUUACGAUAUGAUAUACAUUGAUUUUUCUUUUAAACUGCAUAUACAUUGUGGCAUAAUCUAAAUAGAAGAAUCAUGGUAAAUGUUUCCAAAGUCUUAGUACUACUUCUAAUUUCUGAAUUUUUUUUUUCAGCUUUUAUUUUAGAUUCAAGGGUUACAUGUGCAGGCUUGUUACCCGGGUAUAUUGCUUGAUGAUGAGGUUUGGGAUAUGAAUAAUCCUAUUACCCAGGUACUGAGUACAAUACCCAAUAGGUAGUUUUUCAACUCUUUUCUCCCAUUUUUCCUCCUCCCAUCUAGUAGUCCCCAGUCUCUGUUGUUGCCAUAUUUAUGUUCAUGAGUACCCACCGUUUAGCUCCCACUUGUAAGUGAGAACAUGCUUAUAUUUGGUCUUUGGUUUUCUUUUUCUGUUAGUUUGCUUUGGAUAAUGGGCUCCAGCUCCACCCACGUUGCUGCAAAGGACAUGAUCUCAUUCUUUUUUAUGGCUACAUAGUAUUUAAUGGUGUAUAUGUACAUUUUCUUCAUGCAAUCUACCAUUGAUGGGCACCUAGGUUGAUUAGAUGUCUUUGCUAUUGUGACUAGUGCUGUGCUGUGAUGAACAUAUGAGUGUGUGUGUCUUUUGGUAGAACAAUUUGUUUUUAGUUGCAUAUAUAUUCAGUAUUGGGAUUGCUGGCUUCAGUGGUAGUUCUGCUUUAAGUUAUUUGAGACAUCUACAAACUGCUUCCCACAGCCACUGAACUAAUUUACAUUCCCACCAACAGUGUAUAAGAACUCUCUUUUCUCUACACCCUUACCAGCAUCUGUUAUUUUUUGACUUUUUAAUAAUAGUCAUUAUGACUGGCAUGAGAUGCCAUUUCCUUAUGUAUUUGAUAUGCAUUUAUCUGAUGAUUAGUGCUGUUGAGCAUUUUUUCAUAUGUUUGUUGGCCACUUGCAUAUCUUCUUUUGAGAAGUGUCUGUUCAUGUCUGUUGCCCAUUAUUAAUGGAGUUGUUUUAUGCAUGUUCAAUUGUUUAAGUUUCUAUCUGAAAAUAAGGCAAAAUGAAGGCAAUGUGUGCAUUAAUACAUAAUUGGGUAGUAUAUUUUUGUAUACAUUUUUCUGGCUGCUGAAACGGCUCUCAUGUGUUCUCAUCAGGGAAUAUGAGAAAGAAGAUGCUUUAUUUUCAAAUAAUCAUAUAAUUGUUUCUCCUGCUUCAGGGGACUUUUGAACAACUUUCAGGAGCUAAAAUUAUAUAUAUACAUAUAUAUGUAUGUGUAUAUAUAUAUACGUAUAUAUGCGCACACACACGUAUAUAUGUAUAUCUUCGUGUGUGUGUGUAUAUAUAUAUAUAUACUCUUUCUAUAUGUUUAUAUGUGUGUGAGUAUAUACAUAUAUAUGACGUGGUUUGGUUUUGUCUCCACUGAAAUCUCAUCUUGAAUUUUAGUUCCCAUAAUACCCAUGUGUCAUGGGAGGGACCAGGUGAAGAUAAUUGAAUCAUGGGACAGUUUCCUCCAUCCUGUUCUUGUGAAAGUUCUCACAAGAUCUGAUGGUUCUUAAGGGGCUUCCUCCUUUGCUGGGCACUCAUUCUCUCUCCUACUGCCCUGUGAAGAGGUGCCUUCCACCAUGAUUAUAAGUUUCCUGAGGCCUCCCCAGCCAUGUGGAACUGUGAGUUAAUUAAACCUCUCUCCUUUAUAAAUUACACAGUUUCAGGUAUAUAUUUAUUAGCAGUGUGAGAACAAACUAAUACAGCAAAUUGGUACCAGGUAGUGGGGCACUACCAUAAAGAUACCUGAAAAUGUGGAAGCGAAUUUUGAACUGGAUAAAAGGCAAAGGUUGGAACAGCUUGGAGGGCUCAGAAGAAGAGAGGAAAAUGUGGGAAGGUUUGGAACUUCCUAGAGACUUGGAGAACUCAGGAGAAAAAAAAAAGAUGUGGGAAAGUUGGGAACUUCCUAAAGACUUGUGGAAUGGCUUUGACCAAAAUGCUGUUAGUGAUAUAGACAACGAAGUCCAGGCUGAGGUGGUUUCAGAUGGAGAUGAGGAACUUGGGAACUGGAGCAAAGGUGACUUGUUAUGUUUUAGCAAAGAGACUAGCAGCAUUUUGCGCUCGCCCUAGAGAUCUGUGGAACUUUGAACUUGAGAGAGAUGAUUUAGGGUAUCUACUAGAAGGAAUUUCUAAGCAGCAAAGCAUUCAAGAAGUGGUAGAGCAUAAAUGUUUAGAAACUUUGCAGCCUGAUGAUGUGGUAGAAAAGAAAAACCCAUUUUCUAGGGAGAAAUUCAAGCUGGCUGCAGAAAUUUGCAUAAGUAACAAGGAGCCAAAUGUUAAUCACCAAGGCAAUGGGGAAAAUGUCUCCAGGGCAUGUCAGAGACCUUUCACAGUAACCCCAGAGGCCUAAGAGGAAAAAAUGGUUUCCUGGGACAGAUCCAGGGUGCCCCUGCUGUGUGCAGCCAGGGACGUAGUACCCUGUGUCCCAGGUGCUCUAGCCAUGGCUAAAAGGGGCCCAGUUACAGCUCGGGCCAUGGCUUCAGAGGUGCAAGCCCCAAGUCUUUGCAGUUUCCAUGUGGUGCUGGUCCUACAGGUACACAUGAGACAAUAAUUGAAGUUUGAGAACCUCUGCCUAGAUUUCAGAGGAUGUAUGGAAACACCUGGAUGUGCUGCAGGGGUGAAGCCCUCAUGUAGAACCUUUGCUAGGGUAGUGCAGGAAGGAAAUGUGGGGUUGGAGCCCCAACACAGCAUACCCACUGGGGUACUGCCUAGUAGAGCUGUGAGAGGAGGACCAUCCUCCAGACCCCAGAAUGAUAGAUCCACUGAUAGCCUGCACCAUCACCUGGAACAGCCACAGACACUCAACACCAGCCAUGAAAGCAGCUGAGAAGGGGGCUGUACCCCACAAAGCCACAAGGGCAGAGCUGCCCAAGGUCAUGGGAGCACACUUCUUGCAUCAGCAUGACCUGAAUGUGAGACAUGGACUCAAAGGAGAUUGUGGAGCUUUAAGAGAUUUAAUUACUGCCCUAUUGCACUUCAGACUUACAUGGGUUCUGUAGCCUUUUUGUGUUGGCCAAAUUCUCCCAUUUGGAACAGGUGUACUUAUCCAAUGCCUGUACCCACAUUGUAUCUGGGAAGUAGCUAACUUGCUUUUGAUUUUACAGGUUCAGAGGUGAAAGGGACUUGCCUUGUCUUAGAUAAGACUUUGGACUUGGACUUUUGAGUUAAUGCUGGAAUGAGUUAAGACUUUGGGAGACUGUUGGAAGGACAUGAUUGCGUUUUGAAUUGUGGGGACAUGAGAUUUGGGAGGACCCAGGGGUGAAAUUAUAUGAUUUGGCUCUGUGUCCCCACCCAAAUCUCAUCUUGAAUUUUAGUUCCCAUAAACCCCACAUGUCAUGGGAGGGACCAGGUGGAGAUAAUUGAAUCAUGAGAGCAUUUUCCCCCAUCCUGUUCUUGAGAUAGUGAGUUAGUUAUCAUGAGAUCUGAGGGUUUUAUAAGGGGCUUCCCUCUUUGCUGGGCACUCAUUCUUUCUCCUACCACCCUGUGAAGAGGUGCCUUCCACUAUGACUGUAAGUUUCCUGAGGCCUCCCCAGCCAUGUGGAACUGUGAGUCAAUUAAACCUCUUUCCUUUAUAAAUUACCCAGUCUCUGGUAUGUCUUUAUUAGCAGCGUGAGAAUGGACUAAUACUAUCUAUCUAUCUAUCUAUCUAUCUAUCUAUCUAUCUAUGAAUGGACUAAUACCAUAUAUAUAGAGAGAUAGAGAUCUAUAUCUAUGUAAAUAUAUAUAGAUAUAUAUGCAGAGAGAGAGAGAGAGCACACUGAAUUUUUGCUACUUCAGCUUCAUUUGUAUCUUCUUUGGUUUUAUUUUCUACCGCUAGAUACUUUAAGCAGUUACCUUUUCCAAUUUCAAAACUGUCAGAUUUAUAUGCCACUUGUGCAGAAGUCCUUUGAAGUAGAUAGGACUUAUUCUUAUGAAUGAGAAUUUACUAUAUCAAUUGUCAUUUUCUUCAUCUUCAGGAAUCUGG